rnacentral:rRNA from 1 species
GUAAGGAAUAUUGGUCAAUGGACGAAAGUCUGAACCAGCCAUGCCGCGUGGAGGAUGAAGGUCCUCUGGAUUGUAAACUUCUUUUAUAUGGGACGAAAAAAGGGUUUUCUAACUCGUCUGACGGUACCAUAUGAAUAAGCACCGGCUAACUCCGUGCCAGCAGCCGCGGUAAUACGGAGGGUGCAAGCGUUAUCCGGAUUCACUGGGUUUAAAGGGUGCGUAGGUGGGUUGGUAAGUCAGUGGUGAAAUCUCCGAGCUUAACUUGGAAACUGCCAUUGAUACUAUCAGUCUUGAAUAUUGUGGAGGUCAGCGGAAUAUGUCAUGUAGCGGUGAAAUGCUUAGAUAUGACAUAGAACACCAAUUGCGAAGGCAGCUGGCUACGCAUAUAUUGACACUGAGGCACGAAAGCGUGGGGAUCAAACAGGAUUAGAAACCCCAGUAGUCC